UAUUUACCUUUUCUUCUCUUUUCUUUUUUAUUUUCAGCUCUGGUUAUUGUUCCGAAAAGGAAUCCGUCAAUUAGGAGGUUGAGCCGCAAGAAUCCGAGAUAAUAGAAGAACUCUUUUGGGGUGUUAUCUAUUUGUGUUGAUAUUUUUAUUUCUGGGCAAUGUCAAAAGGAGAUAACUUUUCAGAUCUAUUUUUGUACGGAGAUGACUUCAAGUGGCUCUCUCAAC
rnacentral:lncRNA from 1 species